GGGCCAGACUCCUACGGGAGGCAGCAGUGAGGAAUAUUGGUCAAUGGGCGGGAGCCUGAACCAGCCGAGUCGCGUGAGGGACGACGGUCCUAUGGAUUGUAAACCUCUUUUGUCGGGGAACAAAGGCGCCCACGGGUGGGCGGAUGAGUGUACCCGAAGAAAAAGCAUCGGCUAACUCCGUGCCAGCAGCCGCGGUAAUACGGAGGAUGCGAGCGUUAUCCGGAUUUAUUGGGUUUAAAGGGUGCGCAGGCGGUCUGUUAAGUCAGCGGUAAAAUGUCGGGGCUCAACCCCGGCCUGCCGUUGAAACUGGCGGCCUCGAGUGGGCGAGAAGUAUGCGGAAUGCGUGGUGUAGCGGUGAAAUGCAUAGAUAUCACGCAGAACUCCGAUUGCGAAGGCAGCAUACCGGCGCCCAACUGACGCUGAAGCACGAAAGCGUGGGUAUCGAACAGGAUUAGAUACCCCCGUA
rnacentral:rRNA from 1 species